GCCAGUGUGGCAUAGUGGUUUGAAUGUUAUAUUGCAACUCUGAAGACUAGAGUUCAAUUCUCCACUUAGACA